CUUGUUCUCCUGAGCCAGACCCUGUGUCAUCCAUGCUUGACCAAUCUGAGCAUCUACUGAAGAACAGGGGAAACGACCUGAGAAUUGAGGGACAAUCUUUACAACGAAAUGGCUUGGCCGUGUCUCCCGUUUUUGGAGAAGUGCGCAGAGAGGACUUCCGGUCAAGACAGCACUAGAAUGCAAGAAGACUAGUCUUUCCGUGUGUCCUCAAAUCCCUUCCGUGGAGUGUGGCUACCACAGAGAUGGGAUGCUGGAAUGACAACAGCCGUGCCCACAGACAGCAGUAAACUCAUUCCUAACCAUCGUAGCGUGCUUUCCGGGUGUCACAGGCCUUGUAUUUGAGCUCACAGUGAUGCGUCGAGAAAGGCAAGCGGACGGUAUUGCUCUCAUUCUGCAGGACUGACUUCCAGAUACAUGUUGUUCUUGGGAGGCACGUGGACGUUCCAGCCAGAGUGGCUGGGGUGAGGAGCAGAGGCUGGGAACAGAAGGCUGACCUCGUGCUGGGGGUUUACCAGAGGGCACACCGUCAGCUGGAGCUUUCCAUCUCCAGAGAAGGAGUGGAGUGAGGGAUGGAAAUCUUUCUUUAAAAUGGUUCCUGCUUGAGAGUUAAUUGGCAGAGGGAAAAAGGAGAUAGAACCUCCCACGGUCAUCAGCUCGCCACCUGCUGCCUCAUCAAUCGUGCUCCUGCCUACGCCAAGCCUGGAGGUGGAGAGCUGCCACGCCGGACUGUCUGUGUGGGUCUGUAGACCUCAGACACCCUCCCUGAACCAGGAGGAGCCGGUGCACAGCCAGUUGUGGAAUUCAGGGAAUGGAAAAGUUCAUCUGCCAAUUGUCACAGAAAAUAGAAGGAAUGAGAAACCCAUAAAUGGCUUUUAAUUUCUCAUAGAAAUGCCGUACCUCAAGUCUGGUGAAGUCAGCUUGUGUGAAAUCCCACUGGAGUUCUGUCCUCAGCGUCCCAUGUAGGGGGACAGUCCACUCCCGGUGUAUGUGCUCCAGAUGUGGGUGAGCAAUAAGGUAGAGCUUUCCAGAAACCUAAGGUGGAGACUUUUCCGUGCAGUUUUGUCCGGUUCAUUAUUUGUAUGCCUAUGCUCUCUCAACUUCACCCCUCUGCUAUAUCAAUUAAAGCCUGUGGCUUUUUGUUGUUGUUGUUAUUAA
rnacentral:lncRNA from 1 species